UUUCCGUAGGUGAACCUGCGGAAGGAUCAUUACUGAAGUGGGUCUUCAUCAUUGAGGCUUCUUCCCAUGGUGCUGGCUUUGACCGUAUGUAAUGUUUGGGAUUAAAUAUGGUUGAUAUUUAUUUUAGCCGUCCCCAACAAUUUAUAUUAUCCUUUAUUAAUUUGAACUGAACUCAUUUUGAGAGUACAUAAAAGAUAAUCUAUUAAUACAACUUUCGACAACGGAUCUCUUGGUUCUC
rnacentral:misc_RNA from 1 species